rnacentral:sRNA from 1 species
AGUUAUGGGCAUUGGAGAAAUUGGAACCCACCGCGGAUGAGGCCCUUCGAGAGUAUUUUGUGGACCUUGAUAUCCUGUUAUCGGAAGGCAACGAGUACGUGCCAAUAGGGCAAAUGGAGGAUUGGUCGGAUUGGGGCUUAGGUGCGAGGCAAAAAAGGAGAAGCUUGAAAGAGAAAAGAGCCUCUGGUGGCACGAAGCGGAUGCGCACUGUCGUUGCUUUAGUUGAUGAGCUGAUGGAUGAAGGGGACGACCAUGGUCAAGGUAGUGAACAGCCGUUGGACCAUGGGCCGAUAGCUCCAGAACCACUCACCGAUCUUUCUCAGAUGCAGAGUGGAAACAACCCGUCGUUAACGGAAGCGACGACAAGUCCUCAAGCACCGAUCUAUCCAGCCCAAUCGCAGACAGCUAACGAGCAGGCGUUUACGAAAACGACGAUAGGUCCUGAAGCACAGAUCGAUCUGACUCCACUGCAGACAGCUAACGAGCCGGCGAUAAGGAUAUUAAAGUUGUAACAGUUAAUGUUCAACAAUUUCAUACAUGAUUAUUGAAUAACACAAUUAAAUAUGUAAUUGCAGUAUGCGAAAGUGAUGGCAGGUCUUGAAGCACCGAUCGGUCCGGCUCCACCGCAAAUUGUUGACCCAGUCGAGAACAGUCAAUGACGGAGCAGUCACAACUCGCCAGCUCCGAUGGAUCAUGCGCAAGCAUGAAAAAGAUAUGUUGGAGCUGAAGGCUUCAAUUCAGUCAUUAAGUGUAGCAAUGCAGACGAUUGAGGACCGUAUCGUUGGUCGGAUUCUUGACGGCCUUAAAUCACAAGGCGGUCCAUCUAACGGUGCUGGUCUAGAGCACGAUGAUGCUGAUGAUGGACAACAUCAUGAACCGAGUCUUGACAUUGACAAUGACGUUCUUGGUGCUGACGAAGAGCACAUAACUCAUGUAGAUGACGUCGUCGAAGAAGUUAUGGUAGUGGAUGUCACCUUUCAGUCAGAUGAUGCUGAAGGAGAGCAUCUUCCUCCGACCGAUGCAUUCGUCGAUGCAGCAGCAGGAGCUAUCGUUCUUUAUCGUGAGAGCACUCCUGAUGCAGUUGAGAUACGGUCGUCGUCACCAGAGUCAUCUGCUGUUCAUCAUGGUGCAUCAGAAAUUUCAGACCCAACUGAGCUGGCAUGACUGAAAAUGGCGAGCAAAUACAUGGCAAGCCCAUUCGUCGACCCCUUAGUGACCCGUCGAGAUGUGAGGGAUAAAAUCGUAGAAGACUACGAAGCUUUCAAGAAAGAGGAGUCCGAGAGGCAUAACGUCUGCAUCUUAAGGGAUUAAGGGGCUGACUUUUUCAUAACCUUAGAGGAUCCCAAUGAGGUAAUGAUAAGUGAACAUAUCGACGCAUGCCUCAGCCUACUCUGCAAACGAAUGACAAGGCCGAAGUCGAAGCUGUACACUACCCGUGCAUGCAUGGUUGACACGAUAUUCUUCACACUAUCCGUAUGCUACACACCGAAUUUCUAACAGAAGAUGCUCGAGCCAAAAUGCAAAUUUCAGAUGAGUUGCGGGGCUAUGUGGAGGGUGAAAGGCCAACAUACGCCAAAAAAUGGGAAAAUGUUGAUUUCAUCCUCGUGCCUUGCAAUGUUGGUGGGCAUUGGGUGGUUGCGAAGAUCGACUUGGUGAGGUGGACGAUCAAGGUGGUGGACUCAGCAAGAACUUCAGAUGCUAAGGAUAACAGAGUUCGUGCGGGUCAGAUGACACCCUUGAAGACAAUGAUGCCAUUCAUCUGCCACCAAGCUGGUUAUUUCAACAACAUACGUUGGAAGAGAUAGGAUUUGAUGCCGAUGCUAUUGGAUAUUCAUUUACCAAAAGCUAAAGUGCAUCGGCAGAAUGAUAGUGUCAACUGCGGUAUGUUCAUGAU